rnacentral:rRNA from 1 species
UGGGGAAUAUUGGGCAAUGGGCGAAAGCCUGACCCAGCAACGCCGCGUGGAGGAAGAAGGUUUUCGGAUCGUAAACUCCUGUCCUCAGGGAAGAGAAGGAGACGGUACCUGAGGAGGAAGCAUCGGCUAACUCCGUGCCAGCAGCCGCGGUAAUACGGAGGAUGCGAGCGUUAUCCGGAUUUAUUGGGUUUAAAGGGUGCGCAGGCGGGCGUCUAAGUCAGCGGUGAAAGUUCCCGGCUCAACCGGGUCAGUGCCGAUGAUACUGGGGGCCUUGAAUGCGGUCGAGGCCGGCGGAAUGUGGCGUGUAGCGGUGAAAUGCAUAGAUAUGCCACAGAACACCGAUAGCGAAGGCAGCUGGCCGGGCCUGCAUUGACGCUGAGGCACGAAAGCGUGGGGAUCGAACAGGAUUAGAUACCCUGGUAGU